rnacentral:tRNA from 1 species
AGCAACAAGAAAUAAUGUAUUCACCUUUGGCUUACAAGACCAAUGCUCUGUUUAAGCUAUUGUUGC